AACACUACUAGUCUAGAAUCCAAGGAUCUUUCCACUUGGAAAGUAGCACACACUGCUUUGCCAAAAGGUAGGAUGGUUUGCAUUGAAUGGAUGUGAGUAUAUAAACACAAGGAAGGGUUGCGACCCUUGAGUUGAGGAUCAGUGAUGUGUCCAAAAGAGGCAUCCCUUGGAACCUUGUGUCAACAAAGUAAGGGAUGUGACUUAUGGAUCACUGAGGUGGCGGAGACUCAGUGACCCUUGGUGGAGAUUGAUGAAGUGUCGAAGGGGUGCCACCUAAGGAUGGUCUAAACCCAAGGUUUAGCCCUAACCCAAGGAUUAGUACUAACCUUAAGCCCAAACUCACCACUUAGGCUCAACCUUAGCCCAAGCUAAGUAUUUAGGCCAUUUUUGGGGUGCGACAUCACCCCCCCUCCAAUAGUGCUACAUCCCGGAGCACUCUCCUCCUCACUCCCUUGAGAUGGAUAAAAUGUCUCCGGCGGGUAGUACUUCCGUAGGCGAGACCCGUUCACGCGAGUAGAAAGAGAAGUUCCUUCCAUAUCCUUGAGUUGCACCGAGCCGUUUGGAAACACAGCUUCCACUCGAUAUGGUCCAAUCCAGCGAACUCGAAGUUUGCCAGGUCGCUUCCAAUACUUACUCUCGUAGAGAAGUACUAGGUCACCCUCGUUGAAGAGCUUGAGACGAAGGAAUCGGUCAUACCAUGCCUUCCUUCUUUUCUGGAUAGCUUCCCGUUCUUCUUUGGCACCACCACAAUGGGAGAGACCCACUCGCUCCCCUCCACCUCCUCAAUGAAGCCGGCAGCUUGAAGUUUGUCGAUGUCCUCCUUCACUACCUUUGCAUAGCGCGGGUUGAGGCGGUAGGCUCGCUGGCGACGAGGAAUAGCACCGUCAACCAGGCAAAUUCGAUGUUGAGCGAUUUCGGAAUCCACGCCUUUCAGCUCGUCGUAGCUCCACGCAAAGAUGUCGCGGAACUCGAGGAAGAGCUGAUGGAAGAGUUCUCUGGCAUCUGGUGAAAGCUGAGCUCCCACCUGCAGUUCCCUCCUCUCAGAAUUUCCAUUGAACUCAACGAGAAGGGGAACACAGAGUGGGGAAGUGAGGAAAUCAGGUUCAGAAGGAGAGGAGUUCACCUCUAUCCCAGCUGGAACCUCUCUGAUCUUCAACUCGGCUUCACGACUGUGGAAAAAACGAGCUGGAAAGUUGUCGAGUUCAGGGUCGUACUCCACCGACUGGAGUCUUGAAACCUCCACAGCGUUGCACUCCACAACGAGAGGCACAUCCUCCACCAGGUCCUCAACUUUCUGGAGCAACUCCUGACCGAGAAACAGAUGUUCCUCGGCUUCCUCCAGCUUGUCCAGUUGCAGCACCAGGAACCGGGUGGUGACCAGAAACUCUCCCACGAUCAGAGCAACUGUAGGGAUAAAUCCACGAACCUGGUGGUAAACUCCAGGAAGUAUCUCCAACAUCAGGCCUGGAAAGCCGAACUCCUGCACAUCAUACUCCUCGGCCACCGCAGCAGUCAUGAAGCAGGUCUGCACCUCAUGUAAAACCUGAGCUCGGAGGGUCCCCACAUCCACCAAGCGAACGUCCACCACUUGAGCCGAAGGCAAUGUGAUCACUUGGAGCAUGUAGCAAGGGGGAUCAAGCUCUCCUCUUCGAAAAAGGUACAGCCUGCCCCGCUGUCCGAAUUCAUCUGUUGUGACCACAGUCUCGUGCAAGUAGUUCAUCUCAGCAUUAGUAGUCCUCAGCCAAUCUGAUCCAAGGACAACAGCAAUGUCUCCUGGUCGCUUAAUCACCAACAGGUUCACGAUGAAGCGUUGGUUGCCGAGGAAGAGAAAAACAUCCUCCACCUUGCCGUAAAUGGGAAAAACGUCCCCAUCAGCACAUACGGCCACUUGGUCCUGCUCAGUGAUGGUGAUCCGCAGCCGAGCUGCUACAGCAAAGUCAAUGGUGAUGAAGCUCUGCAGCGCUCCAGGAUCCACCAACGUCAAACAAUCGAGGCCCUUCACAUACCCCAUGGUAAACAGUGAAGCAUCCAGCGCAGGAUCUCCCCGAACGUUAGGAGGAAAAGGAAGUAUCUCCGCUUGGAUCAUAAGGAAAGGAACCUGGGAAGAAGCUCCCAGCCGCUGAAGAAGAUCUUGACUGCUCACCGUUGAGUGGUGAUCGGAUAUGACCAGCUGCAGCUCUUCAUCAGCUCCAUUCUCAGAAACGUUCUCCUCAGCCACGAGCUGCUGGAGCUCCACACCGGGCAUCUCCUCUUCCGACACCUCCUCUUGAAACACAUCCUCCUCAGUGGAUUCAGAUGUAGUAUCGGAGUCUCCAUCUUCUGGUUCCACAGCUACUGGUUUUUCCCGCUUAUAUCCCGGCCUGACAUGCACUUGGAUUGGAAUUCGGAAGUUCCCAUCCCCGAUGGUCAGCACCCCCGUUCCCCAGUUAUGCUCAGCUGAUGCUUGAAGCAGCCAGGGCCGGCCCAGCAACAACGGGUAGUUGAGACCUGCUCCCUCCUUCAUUUUGAGGACCACGAAAUCAAUGAAGAAGUUUACUCCUGCGAUCCAGGUUUUCACACCCGAAACAAGUCCCACGGGCUGAACUCUCCGUUGAUCGGCCAUCCGGACAGCAAAAUGAACUGGCACAGGCGUGGAAGCUCAAACCUUCUCCACGUUUCCAGCGGCAUGAUGUUUACACCGCUUCCUCCAUCGAGCGUGCAACCACGUAUGAGUUCCCCCUGAAUCUCCACAUCCACGCAAGGAGAACUCAUAUCCGCUAUGACAGGCCAGGCAGAGUUCACCACCGCCUCUUUGUGUGCCUGCAUGGCUGUGGAAAUAGCCUUCCUCAAACCCGGUGCCAAAGCUAGAAGCUGAGCAAAACUGAUACUCGGCUUCUGAUUCUUUAAAUCAGCGAGAACGUCGUACGGUGGGGGCUGCAAGUUCGGCACACGCUUGUAUCUGCGCCCCUUCUUCCUUGAUAGCCCGGCCUCGGGAUCUCUCACGCCUUCCUCAGCACUUGCCUUGCCACACUCCAUCCUUCGCUCACCAGUCGCUUGCUGCAGAUGCCCUGUUUGUGAGCCGAUGGCACUCUUUAGCGCCGUUCCACCAAGUGCCGUGGCGCUUCCUUCCAGGGCCUUGGCGGAUGAACCCGCAUCCGCUGCCGCCUUUACCUCCGCGCCCCUUCGCUGCUCGGCCACCACAUCCCUAAUUCCAAAAUUAGGGUUCCUGAGUAAUUCUGAAUUCUUCGCGUGUGCUGGCGGCGUUGAUUCGAAUGCACGGUGCAGCGCUGGUUUGUUCUCCAUUCCCACUUCCUGCUCCUUGAGGCGCCUCCGGAACCUGCGUACAAUCGCCUCUGGAUCAUCCACGUACUCCCCUGGAGCACAAGAUUGAACGCCUCCUGCAUUCUGCUGCUGCUGCACUACUUGUGAGCGUGUGGCCACGUUCAGGCAAGGGCGAUCGGCUUCCAUCUCCCCAGCUCCAAGGUGAAUUCCUCCCGAUUGCUCCAUACUUUGUUUUCCCCUUAAUUCAAAAUUCGAUUUUUGAAAAUUAGGGCUCCCGCCAAUCUGGGCAUUCCCUGUGAUGGUUGUAACUCGGCUGCUAUCCCCUCGUCGAAGCUGGUGCUGAUUCUUUUGCUGCUGCAGCUGCCUGUAUUCCUCCUCUGGUUCAACAUCAGUGUAGACAUCUGCUGCAUAUCUUCCCUCAGCUGUUUGUUGUGCGUUGAACACGCUUGGCUGCAGCAUUUGCCCAGUGGGAUCAAUUGCAUAAGCUUGGGCAUUUGCUGUGUAGUGCUCAUUCCAGCUGAUCGGCUGAACGAAAACAGCCUGAGAGUCAACCACGUUCUUGGCUCUGGUUUUCUGAAGCUUGUGAGGGCAGUUUGCUUGCUCGUGAAGCCCCUGAGUUUGGCAAAUGCCACAAAUUGGUUGAUAACCAAUUUGCUUUCGCGGAUGCGGGCAAUUUGGAGAAAUAUGGCCCACUUCUCCACAGUUGUAGCAUGUCACAGGACCUCUCCUUGGUGGUGCUCGACCCCUUCCUCCUCCUGUAACCCCCGCAGCAUAAACUGGGACCAUCUCACCCGUAUAAACUGGAGCAUAAGUAACCGGUGGAGAGUACGGUUGAGGAAGCAUGUGGAGUUGUUGCUGCUGAGGCAUUCCUCCUGGUGUAGCAUGGAUGUAAGCUGCUUGAACCUGAUUCCCCGGCUUAUAGUGGCAAUCUUCUGAUCUAUGAUUCGCUCGCUUGCAAUGCUUGCAACGAGGUAUAGCAUCUUGCGGGCAUUCGUUGGGAUAAUGCCCGUAACUUCGGCAACGAACACACCAAAUGUUGUCCCUGGUCUUCUGCUGUCGUCAUGGGCUUUGGACUCCCUUAAUCCAAUUGAGCUGGAGGUCCGACAUCUUCUGAGUAAGGGUUUCCACCAAACUUUCUUGUGCUUUCUUCACUUCGGCUUGUACUUCAGCUUUCACAUCCGGAACCGGUGAUUGUUGAUAAAUGCCAUAAGGCAUUUGCUGCUGCAUCAUGGGAGAAGGAACUUGACCAGGUACUGUUGAGUAUGCCAUCUUCGUAUAGUCCAUAGUUCCCAUUCCCGCAGGUGCAACUCCUCCGUGGAGUCCACUUGUUGAAUACAUGGCUGGAUUCGUUGUAGCCAUGUUGGCCAUAGGAUUGGCCGAUGAACUCCCCGAGCUCAUCAUUUGACGAUUCACUCCAAGAUGGGCUUGUUCCCAAUUCCCAGCAAAAGCUAUUGCGGUAUUCAAGUCCGCUGGGCUUUGGCACUUCACGUGAAUCUUCAAAGGGAGGGGAAGACCUCCCACAAAGUAUCUCACUUGCUCUUCUGCCGUAGGUUGUGGAGUUCUCUUGAGCAAGAGACCUUUGAAUCGCAAGGUAUAACUUUGUAAGCUCUCUCCGGGCAACAUUUGGAAAUCAUAGAGGCUAUCCAUGAUCCAUUGAUUGAAUCCAACAGGUCGAAACGCUGUUAGGAACGCUGCUCGCAACGCUACCCAAUCAGCUCCUGCCGGAAUAGUGGUCAUCCACUCCGCCGCCACUCCAAGAAGGGUAGCAGGAAAUAGCUUCCUCCUUUCCACGGCUCCAGCUUCAUCAUUUGCUGUAGUGGUGUUCUCAAAUGCCAUCACGUGAGCGUCUGGAUCUCCAACUCCCGUGAAGGUAGAGUAUUUCAUCUUUGUUGUCGCGGUUGCCAUUGCUUGUGGUGGUUGUUGUUGUUGUUGCUGACCUUGUCCUUGUGCUUGUGGUGGUGAUGGUGGUGGUGUAGGAGGUGAUAUCACAACCUCCUCUUGCUCUUCUUCUUCUUCUUCUUGUUCUUCUCUAGAUGAUCCAACCGGAGAUGUCUCUCGGCUUGGUCUUGGGCUUGUCUCCGGAGUGGGUGUAGGGCCUUGUCUCCUACGAUACCUCUCCUCCCGGAAUAACCUUUGUGCUUCUCUUCUCUCGGCUUCUUGUUGUCUCUCCUCAAGCAAUUUCUGGUACUCGUACUGCGAACGGCGCAUACACACCCCUCCUUUAGUGAAGUCGCCGAGCUGUGUUCGGCUACCGAGCUGUCUUCGGAUUCUUCACUCCAUCGGCAGAGCAGCAAUGUGCAUACUUUCCCGGGCAGUGCACCAGAAAUGAAGCUCGAAAGGAAAACCCCAAGCCCCAACACUACUAGUCUAGAAUCCAAGGAUCUUUCCACUUGGAAAGUAGCACACACUGCUUUGCCAAAAGGUAGGAUGGUUUGCAUUGAAUGGAUGUGAGUAUAUAAACACAAGGAAGGGUUGAGUUGAGGAUCAGUGAUGUGUCCAAAGGAGGCAUCCCUUGGAACCUUGUGUCAACAAAGUAAGGGAUGUGACUUAUGGAUCACUGAGGUGGCGG
rnacentral:lncRNA from 1 species